GUGCCGUAAGUACUAGCUGCAUGGAGGCACUAGAAGUCCUUAUUAGUCCUAUUUCAUUGUAGCCAUGAUCCUUCUGGUCUCUUAGAGAAAGGACGAGCCGAAGAGAAUAUAUAUUUUCGCAAAAAGGAACGAGAAGAACUACUGAGAAUGCGUCGCAAAUUGGAACGUUUAGAAAGAACGCAGCAACAGUUGGAGGAUAAAAUGGAAAGGGCUCAGGAAUUAAUCGAUAAAUUAACAGAAUCCAAGGAGAAUAAAUCUGGGGAUACUUCAACAAAUCAAAAGUAAAAUUGCAAUUUUCAAAAAAAAACCUGGCCAAAAUGACACAAUAUUACCACAAAUCCGGAGAACACGUUAUGAGUGCUACACCUACUUACAUAGGAACCGAUUUAUAUAAAAUUUAGCAAUAACCGUGUGAACGAAUUUCGUGAGAACCGGUUAACAAAUGAUGACAUUAUUGCAAUAUUAUUAAAAAUCAUGAGCUAUACAAAUAUAAAUCUGAACCGAUUUCUUACAA